ACAGAGGGGGCAAGCGUUGUCCGGAAUUACUGGGCGUAAAGCGCACGCAGGCGGCUCGUCGCGUGUGGGGUGAAAGCUGCGGGCUCAACCCGCAGUCGCCCCCGCAUACGGACGAGCUCGAGCCAUUCAGAGGUCCCUCGAAUUGCCGGUGUAGUGGUGAAAUGCGUAGAGAUCGGCAGGAAGACCCACGGGGAAGCCAGGGGACUGGGAAUGUGCUGACGCUCAGGUGCGACAGCGUGGGGAGCGAACCGGA
rnacentral:rRNA from 1 species